CUAAAUGUAUUUUAUAUUAAGUAGCCACCCUUAUAAUUGCAUCGUGCAUAAGAACAGCCCUUAGCUGUGGUAUAUUGGCUAUAUACCACACCCCCUCUGGCUUUAUUGCUUAAAUCUACAGUCUGUCUAAUGACCCUUUUUUAUUCAGACGGCAACAAGAGGAGGCAUCAGAUUCGGAUAAAUUGUUGAGGACAAGGCGGCCUUGACAGCUGCCAUUGUUCAACUUCACGAGCAGCAGGCAGAGUUUAGGCUCCCCACAGUGGAUGAGCUGCUCAAUACUGACAACUUGGUGUGGCCAUGGGAGAGAGUUGGAAACAGCAACAGCCAGCUUACCAUCAAUAAGGCAAUCUUUGACAGACUGAUGUUGGUGAACAGACCGCAGGAGAUGAAGAGGCACUGGGGGAGCCUACAAAGAGCAGCGGGAACUCUGGAUCCGCUGUCCCUACAGCUGCAAGAUCAGAGCAAUGCAGUGGAGUUGUCAGAGGAAGGGAGGAAUGGCCUUACCUGCCUCCUGAAGAGAAGAUUGAGUGAACUGACACGAGACCAAGACAACACCAGGAACACCUACCACAAGCUGAUUUUGGGAGAAUGAACUAUUUUUGAUGACUGAUGAAGAUGAAAACAGAUAAAGAUAGUCCUAUUGCUGAGAGCUCAGAUGAUGACUUUCCUUUCUGAAAUCAUACACCACCCCUGUCUCUUUCUCUCUGUCUCUCUCUCUCUCCCGCAGGAGAGGGAGAAGGAUGCCACCACCUCCCUCAAGAGCAGCCUGGUCUCCCGAUGUUGACCCCUGACCUCUGAAACCAUCCAGGAAAUGUUAUUUGCCUGAUGACACGCUAGUGGAGAAGGAAUGUCUCAAUUCAGCACAUUUGUUGCCAUGUUUCCUCUCCUCACCUCCUCUCCUCUAUUUCUUCCGGUCCUAGACUAUGGAGACAUCAUCAGUAAUUCACAAAAUUGGCUGAGGACCUCUUUACUGAGGAAUGUGGUUGUUCUUCAGGAUUGUUUUUUAAAUAUUUUCUUGGGAGUAUUUUCUAUGCUGCCGUGAUUGUGUGAUUUUUGUGUAAUUGUGAGUUGCAAAAGAGUCCUUGGUCUCAAUGGGACUGCUAAAAUUAAUAAAGUAAAGGUCUUAAUAAA